GGUUUUAAAAUCGCGCUUCAGACCGGGUCGGGCGCUUUACAAAAAAAAGGGUUUAGUGAAGUUAGGGGUGCUUCCCGGUUUAGGGGGUCGGUGCGGCGGUUUAGGGAUCUAGGACGGGCGGGACGCGGCAGGAGGCGGUAAGGUGGCGGCGGGGUGCGGAGGGUGCUGGAGGCGAUGCGGCAGGACGGGCGGGACGCGGCAGGACGGUCGGGGCACGGCAGGACGGAGACAACGCGGUGGUGCGCGGCAGUACGGAGACGGCGCGGCGGGGCGCGGCAGGAUUGACGGGACGCGACGGGGCGCGGCAGGGCACGGAGGGACCGGCGGGACGCGGCGAGGCAGCACGGGUAGGUAGAGGCGGGGCGUGGUAGGACGGGCAGGUAGCCGCGGGGCGCGUCAAGGCAGGACGUGUAGGUAGCCGCGGGGCGCGAGCAGGCAGGCUCACCGACGAAGUUGAACAUUGGCCCGUCGCACGUAUACUCCAACGUGUCUCUUGGUAACAACCAUGGUAACUCGUCUCCUUCUUCUCAUCGUCUUAGUAACUUUUCUGUAUGUUUUCCUCGCCCUUCCUUGGUCCUUCUACAGUCAAACGUAGUCGAUCUCUAAAAGACAUUGUCUCGUUUUUGUUACGCAGAAAAUCCAGAGUAAAACAUUUGGAUAUACAGUAGAACAGUGGACCCAUAAAACACAUUACCUCGUUUGUUACUUAUAACCUCUACGUAGAUAGUAAAAUAUUUGGACAACCCACUAAGCCAGCAACUUGGCAUUUACAAAGGAA
rnacentral:rRNA from 1 species